AUGGUGCCUCCGGCGACCCCUUCCUCAGCUGGUCGCCGCCGCCGACUAGCGCCAGCAGAUGGCAGCAGCGCCGCCUCAGCACACCUUGUUGCUGGAGAACCACAAGCACGACACCAACAGCGAGCCCACCUCCUAUGUCCAUCCCCGUUGCUUCUCCUCGUGCCUCGUUCUGACCUCGUCUGCGACGUCCGACCCCCUGCAUCACCUCCUGGCCCCACCUCGUUCAUAUCCACCAUGGCCACUUUGGCCUUGCUCACUGUUUUGCUCAGUCGCAUCAGCCGCAGUCGCCUCCAUGUUUUGUUCCUUGCGGGCAGACGACCCAUGCCCUUCGAUCGCAGCAUGCCUUCGCUGGGUUUUCUCCGCAAGGCCCCUUUGCGAAUCACUGCCAAGGCCAAGACCAUCUCCGGGCACGAAGCCUCAAGUCUGAGGACUAUUGCAUUCGUGGAUCCCUUUCGCCAAGUACCACGACAGGUGAAGUCCAAGACAGAGACCUCCUCGAGCAGGAGCGUUUUUUGGGAUCGUCAGGACCACCUCAAGUUCGACUACGUUUUGCCACCCCAACCGAGACCGACAAGUACCACUACGACCAUCCCUCACCAAGACCGACCCCGAAAGGCUCGGAUUCGUCAUGUGUGCAACGGCGCAUGUACAACUAUGCGGACUAAACAAGUACCACUUCAUGUCGACAAGACCACACGGAUGCUGGAACGAGUAUUGAACGAAACACCAAGUACCACUACCGCCGCUGUAAUUUUGAUAAGAAAUGUGUACCACUACCAUCGCCAGUACGUCUACCAUCGUCAUGUACCCCUACUUCCACUACCGUCGCGAGAACAACUACUUCCUCUACGAACUCAAACCGCUCUGAGAAUGCUCCCUUGUAAGUUGCAGGUGCCGAUGAUACCAGUGCAGAUGACACCACCCAGCUCAUGUGGGAGCUCGUUAAAGAUCUUGGUCGUUGUUUUAUGUUUUUUCCAGUUGAUCAGUAUUGGAGCCCAGUUGGGACGAUCAGGGAUCUAG
rnacentral:rRNA from 1 species